rnacentral:lncRNA from 1 species
AUUAACAAAAAAAAAUCACAUAAUUUUUGUAACAAUGUGGACUUGAAGGAUUUUUUUUGAAUUCAUCCCAUGUUGAAAUCUUAACAUGUACCAACAAUAUAAACUAAAACAUAAGUCUAUUCAUCAUAGCUUUAACAUGUACCACAAUACAAACUAAAACAUAAUGCUAUUCGUAUCAUAGCUCUCAGCUAAGGCCAGUAUUCCUCAAAAAUAUCUGUCAAUAAUAUCCUCGGCCAAGUCAGAGAUAUCUUUGAUGUCAUGAGUGUCCAAACUGCACAAUCUUUCGAAUCCUUCG